rnacentral:tRNA from 1 species
CCUGGUGGCUCAGAGGGUAAAGUGUCUGCCUGCAAUGCAGGAAACCUGGGUUCGAUCCCUGCGUCGGGA